AGAGAGAGAGAGAGAGAGAGAGAGCAGACGACACCUAUCUAUUAGAAGAAAGAGAGAGAAGAAGCAUAUAGCUCAUCCCUUUCCUUCUUUCUUUCUUUGUUUCUCUCCCAUUUUCUGGGUGGGGUUUUGGUUUCUGCAAGCAAAGAGAUCAUCAUCUGUUCAUCAAAAGGGCUAGCUAGGCUUAUAGGAUAAUAUUAUUAUUUGUUUAAUAUCAUAAAAUUAAAAAGAGAAAUUAAUACUAGUAGUAUAUAUUAUGGGGAGGGGAAGGGUGCAGCUGAAGAGGAUUGAAAACAAGAUCAACAGGCAGGUGACCUUCUCAAAGAGAAGGUCUGGGUUGCUGAAGAAAGCCCAAGAGAUUUCUGUGCUUUGUGAUGCUGAGGUUGCUUUGAUUGUCUUCUCCACCAAAGGCAAGCUCUUUGAGUACUCCACUGACUCCUGCAUGGAAAGGAUCCUGGAAAGGUACGAAAGAUACUCAUAUUCAGAGAAGCAGCUUCUUGCAAAUGAUCAUGAAUCAACUGGAAGCUGGACUCUGGAACAUGCGAAGCUCAAGGCUAGGGUGGAGGUUUUACAAAGAAAUUGCAGUCAUUUUAUGGGGGAAGAUCUCCAAUCUUUAAGUCUGAAAGAGCUUCAGAAUUUGGAGCAACAGCUUGAUUCUGCACUGAAGCACAUAAGGUCAAGAAAGAACCAGGUUAUGUACGAAUCGAUUUCAGAGCUGCAAAAGAAGGAUAAGGCAUUGCAGGAGCAAAACAACUUGCUGGCAAAGAAGGUAAAGGAGAAGGAGAAAGCACUAGCUCCACAGGCAGAGUCAUGGGAGCAGCAAGUGCAGAACCAGGGCUUGGACUGCUCGUCCACCCUUCUACCAGAGGCAUUGCAGUCCUUGAAUUUCGGCGGUUCAAAUUACCAGGGAAUUAGAAAUGAUGGAGCCGGUGGAGAUCAUGAGGAUGAAAAUGAGACCCCGACAGCAAGUCGACCUAAUACUCUCCUUCCCCCAUGGAUGCUCCGCCACCUUAAUGAAUAGAAGAAUUCAUGAUAUCCAAACUAUUAUAAGUUUAUAACCAAGUACACAUAAUUUAUAUAUAUAAUUAAUUAUAAAUGUAUGUAUGCAUGUAUACCUACGUAGAAAUUAAUUUAUAAUGUGGAUUAUGAUGGAAGGAAGAGCCUCUAGAUAGCUCAAAAUUUGUGGUAUGUUGGGGGCGGGCUAGCUCAAAUUAACUGCUACCACCUCUUGUAUUUAUUUAGUAUAUUAUAAUUUGCAUUGAAGGUGGACGACAGACAAUAUAUUUUCAAAUUAACUUGGGAAUUAGACCAGUGUUGUCGAUAUACACAAGUAGCUACUAUAUAUAGUCCUUUUUCUUUUUGUCCAAUUUGGAUUUGAUUGAUUUGCUGGUAGCUCUUGCGACAGUUGAAUUCUGCUGGUAUUGUUUGCCACAGAUAUAGUAGAUAUGCAUGUAGGGGUUUGGAACAAUUGCCCUAGAUUCGAGUUAUAGCACCCGUGAUAAAUUGAUAUUAUGGCCAUGUCUUUUCUUUUUUCUUUUUAAAUGUAUAUGGGUUGUGUUUUCUUUUAGCAAUGUUGUUCUUUAGUGCCACAAAUGCUGUAUGCGACUGUAGAUUAGGCAUGGCGAUAAUAUCAAUUUAUCAUGCACAGAAAUGGGCGGUACCCAUCAAAUCAAUAUUUAGCGUAGAAUUGUUGAACACUUGAAAAACCCAGUGCCAUGCCAGUCUACAAGUUUAGUAAAUCAAUCUGACUACACAAUAAUACAGAUACAUCCUAAAUAUUUUUUUCUUCUUUUUUCACGAUUCCUUGUUUGUCAAUUUUUUUCACUCUCAGUUUCCAGCCCAAUAAUAGAAUAAUAGAAUUCCUUAAUUACCAUAUAGAAUUCAAUGUAUGUAGUGUGAAUGAUUUCACAUCAAAGUGGAAACUUGCCAAACUAAUAAUCUAGUGUGAAUGAUAUCAGAGGAAGUUGAGAAAACCAUUCCUAAUACAAACAAAUUAAUAGAGAUAUAAUAAUGCAGAUAGCUACCUCGUCUGCCUUGCACUUGAUUAGCUAAUGAUGAAGUUGACUUUUACAUCCUAAUUCAUAAUGAUUUGUGGUUUCUCUUCUGUUAGCUAGUAAUUAGUAUUUGCUGAUUUAUUAAUUAAUCAUCCCCACACCACACCACACGGAUGCUUGCUUGUCAAUAAAUUUGGCACGAGUGGCCGGCGACAAUUCUUUCUUCUAUAAGUUGUCACUAACUAUAGCUUUCUCUUCUCUCUUUUCUCUCUCUUUGGGAAAUUAGUCAAACAACCUCAGUUACAUGUAUCAUGUGUGGGAACUACAAAUUACAAAUUAUCAUGGCGAGCACGUUCAAGAAGUGGCCUACCACAUUGAAAAACAAAGCAAAUAAACAAAAUAGGGAAUCAAUGCCCUUUAGAAAAACAAAUGGUUCCUCCAAGUUCGUCUGGUGGCCGCCUUAUUCUUUGUAUAUAUAUGUAUGUACAGCCAGCCAGUUUUGCCACCAAAACCAAUAUUGUCAACAAAAUGAGUAGAAAAUAUGCAAGAUUGUGUGGUGCCCGUCCCACACUUUGUCUUCCGAUCCAUUCUCUGUCUCUUCGAUCGAAACACACCUCCAGACGAUGUUCUGGUUCGAUCAAAACUGAUCAUAACAGCACAGAAUUCUUGAACAAUAUUAGCAGCAGCAAGGAUGAUUUCAGUGCUGACAGUUUGAAAAGAGGGUCGUCUGAAGUUGGGAAUAAGAUAAUGGUUGUGGUGGAUCCAAGCCUUGAAGCUAAGGGUGCUCUUGAAUGGGCCCUAUCACACACCGUACAAACCCAGGACACCAUUGUACUUGUUCAUGUAGCUAAACCCUCCAAACAAGGUGCAGAGUCAGAUGGGAAGAUCAAUUUGAGGGCUUUUGAACUUCUUCACUCUAUGAAAAAUGUGUGUCAACGGAGAAGGCCUGAGGUGGAAGUGGAGGUAGCAUUGCUUGAAGGGAAAGAAAAAGGACCAAUAAUAGUGGAAGAAGCAAAGAGACAAAGGGUGUCCCUACUCGUUCUUGGCCAGAAAAGAAAGAGAUCAAUGUGGUGGCAGCUCAUCAAGAGGUGGACAAGGACCAGAUCCUCCGGCGAGGUAACUGUCGAAUACUGCAUCCAAAAUGCUGCAUGCAUGACGAUUGCCGUGAGGAGGAAGAGCAAGAAACUUGGAGGCUACUUGAUCACCACUAAGCUUCACAAGAAUUUCUGGCUUCUAGCUUGAUUUGAAAAAAAAUACACUUUAUUUUAUUGGGCUCGUUCUGUUAGAUAAGUUAAGCAAUGUAGAAUCUGUGUUUUUGGUAUUGUGGUGUGAUGGGGUUGUGCAGACAGGUUAAAAAAGUACUUCUCUGCCCAUACAAGACAUGGUUGUGGCGACUGCAAUGCCUGUAAAAACUGGAAGUCAAGAAAAGCUUUUGACUUUAAA